GUAGGUGGCAAGCGUUGUCCGGAAUUAUUGGGCGUAAAGCGCGCGCAGGCGGUCCUUUAAGUCUGAUGUGAAAGCCCACGGCUCAACCGUGGAGGGUCAUUGGAAACUGGGGGACUUGAGUACAGAAGAGGAAAGCGGAAUUCCAAGUGUAACGGUGAAAUGCGUAGAGAUUUGGAGGAACACCAGUGGCGAAGGCGGCUUUCUGGUCUGUAACUGACGCUGAGGCGCGAAAGCGUGGGGAGCAAACAGGAUUAGAUACCCUGGUAGUCCACGCCGUAAACGAUGAGUGCUAAGUGUUAGGGGGUUUCCCGCCCCCUUAGUGCUGCAGCUAACGCAUUAAGCACUCCGCCUGGGGAGUACGGCCGCAAGGCUG
rnacentral:rRNA from 1 species